UGAUGGUAUUAUAGGACAAAUGGGGAAUCUCCGCCCCUAGAUUGGUUCCGGUCCGCAAAUAUUCUAUACAACCCUAAUCGACGAACGGGAAAUCUCACGCUUGCAGCAAGUAGCGCUGGAAAUACAGAUCAACAAUCAAAUGUCAGCCAUUGUAUGAUAUGCUACGUAUAAAAUUAUGCAGUUGACUCUUGAAGUGGUAUUUACUUUUACUGAAAUAAAAAGAAAAGAAGAAAAAUUUACCACGCAGAAUGCUAAUUAAACUUGCACUAAAUUAAUUUUUUUUCUUUCUUUUCUUUUUGCACUGAAUGAUUUUGAAUAAGUUUCCAGAAUGAAAAGAAGUUGAAGAAUCAAUCUGGGUUUUCUGUAAAUUAAAUAUCAAAUUUGAUUAUAGCAAAAAUGUAUCUAAUGAAACUGAAAAUGAUUUGGAGUAGAAAAAGAGAAAUCGUCAAAAGAAAUGGAAUUUUGUUCUCAAGUCAAAUAAAAUUUGUGGAAUGAAAAAGUGUA
rnacentral:lncRNA from 1 species